rnacentral:lncRNA from 1 species
GCCGGGCCGGGGCCGGUCUCCAGCAGCGCCCGGUCGCCGCCGAGCCCGGCUGCCAUUUUAAGGUGAACAAAGAGGCGGAGGCGCGGGCAGGUGAGUGGCUCCGUGGCGGACGGGACCCCCCCCGGUACCGGCACCGGUACCGUCACCGGCACCGUGGGGGCGAACGGGCUCCCGGCACGGGAGGGCGCACCCGGGGGUCCCCGCUCCCCACCGCGCACCGGGGCGGGGGGGGGAGGUCCGUCCUUCCCUUCCCCGCCGCCCCUGCGCCCCCCCCACCGGUACCGGGGUCCCCACCGGUACCGGGGUCCUCACCGGUACCGGGAUCCACACGGGCACGGGGGUCCCCUCCCCUACGGGGGUCCUCACCGGGAUCCCCAGCGACACCGGGGUCCCCACCAGGGUCCCCACGGGCACCGGGAUCCCCACCGGUACCGGGGUCCCCACCGGUACCGGGGUCCUCACCGGUACCGGGAUCCACACGGGCACGGGGGUCCCCUCCCCUACGGGGGUCCUCACCGGGAUCCCCAGCGACACCGGGGUCCCCACCAGGGUCCCCACGGGCACCGGGAUCCCCACCGGUACCGGGGUCCCCACCGAGGUCCUCACCGGUACCGAAAUCCCCACGGGCACGGGGGUCUCCUCCCGUACGGGGGUCCUCACCGGGAUCCCGCAGCGGCACCGGGGUCCCCCCGGGGUCCCCACGGGCACCGGGAUCCCCACUUGUACCGGGGUCCCACCAAGGUCCCCACCGGUACCGGGGUCCUCACCGAGGUCCUCACCGGUACCGGGAUCCAUACGGACACGGGGGUCCCCUCCGGUACCGCCGUUCUCACCGGGAUCCCCAGCGACACCGGGGUCCCCACCAGGGUCCCCACGGGCACCGGGAUCCCCACCGGUACCGGGGUCCCCACCGAGGUCCUCACCGGUACCGAAAUCCCCACGGGCACGGGGGUCUCCUCCCGUACGGGGGUCCUCACCGGGAUCCCGCAGCGGCACCGGGGUCCCCCCGGGGUCCCCACGGGCACCGGGAUCCCCACUUGUACCGGGGUCCCACCAAGGUCCCCACCGGUACCGGGGUCCUCACCGAGGUCCUCACCGGUACCGGGAUCCACACGGACACGGGGGUCCCCUCCGGUACGGGGGUCCUCACCGGGAUCCCGCAGCGGCACCGGGGUCCCCCCGGGGUCCCCACGGGCACCGGGAUCCCCACUUGUACCGGGGUCCCACCAAGGUCCCCACCGGUACCGGGGUCCUCACCGAGGUCCUCACCGGUACCGGGAUCCACACGGACACGGGGGUCCCCUCCGGUACGGGGGUCCUCACCGGGGUCCCCACGGGAACCGGGAUCCCCUCCGAUACCGGGGUCCUCACCGAGGUCCUCACCGGUACCGGGAUCCAUGCGGGCACGGGGGUCCCCGCCGGUACGGGGGUCCUCACCGGGAUCCCCACCGGCACCGGGGCUCCCGGAGCCUCAGUCCCGGCAGGUGGAGGGCGAGAGGCGGCGGCGGCUCCUCCCGGGGGAGCGGGGCCGGGGGUCGCUCUGCCUCCCGGUGCCCCCGGACCCCCCCGGUCCCGCGUCCUCCCCGUCGGCACCGGGGUGCUCGGGGUGGCCGCGUCCCGGGUUACGGCUCCGGGAGCCCCUCCAGCUCCGUUCGGGGAGGGGUCCCCGCGGUGUCCGUGUGGGUGGGGGUCCCCGGUGUGGUGGCGGGGGGGGCGAAGGGGGGGUCAGCCCGCGGCUGCGGGGGUUAAUCCGGGGAUCGGUGGGUCCGGGGAUUUACCGGGGGAAGUCGGGACCCCCAGAAACGGGGAGGUCUUUGGCUUGGGCACCCCGGGGAGGUGCUGCCCCAAACCGCGGGGACCCCCCCAGGACGUGGUGCCCACCCUUGCUGCGUGUCGGGGGGUGCCACCCCCUCUCCCCCAC